rnacentral:rRNA from 1 species
CCUACGGGCGGCAGCAGUGGGGAAUAUUGGGCAAUGGGCGCAAGCCUGACCCAGCAAUGCCGCGUGAAGGAAGAAGGCUUUCGGGUUGUAAACUUCUUUGACAGGGGAAGAGCAGAAGACGGUACCCUGAAAACAAGCCACGGCUAACUACGUGCCAGCAGCCGCGGUAAUACGUAGGUGGCAAGCGUUGUCCGGAUUUACUGGGUGUAAAGGGCGUGUAGCCGGGAAGGCAAGUCAGUUGUGAAAUCUGGAGGCUCAACCUCCAAAUUGCAGUUGAAACUGGUUUUCUUGAGUACUGGGGAGGCAGACGGAAUUCCUUGUGUAGCGGUGAAAUGCGUAGAUAUAAGGAGGAACACCAGUGGCGAAGGCGGUCUGCUGGACAGCAACUGACGGUGAGGCGCGAAAGCGUGGGGAGCAAACAGGAUUAGAUACCCUAGUAGUC